GACGAACGCUGGCGGCGUGCCUAAUACAUGCAAGUAGAACGCUGAAGGAGGAGCUUGCUCUUCUGGAUGAGUUGCGAACGGGUGAGUAACGCGUAGGUAACCUGCCUGGUAGCGGGGGAUAACUAUUGGAAACGAUAGCUAAUACCGCAUAACAGUAGAUGUUGCAUGACAUUUGCUUAAAAGGUGCAAUUGCACCACUACCAGAUGGACCUGCGUUGUAUUAGCUAGUUGGUGGGGUAACGGCUCACCAAGGCGACGAUACAUAGCCGACCUGAGAGAGUGAUCGGCCACACUGGGACUGAGACACGGCCCAGACUCCUACGGGAGGCAGCAGUAGGGAAUCUUCGGCAAUGGACGGAAGUCUGACCGAGCAACGCCGCGUGAGUGAAGAAGGUUUUCGGAUCGUAAAGCUCUGUUGUAAGAGAAGAACGAGUGUGAGAGUGGAAAGUUCACACUGUGACGGUAUCUUACCAGAAAGGGACGGCUAACUACGUG
rnacentral:rRNA from 1 species